AUGAGUCCGUGACUUCGAACGAUUGAGCUCAACAUUCUCCCUUCCUUCGAACUCUUUAGAAUUGAAGAUCUCCGACGUCCUACGCCCGAUGGCGACGCUCUGCCUGCGUUAAGGGAAGAAGGGGCAUCUCAACAGCCAUACCUUUUUGAAUUAAAGAAGUGGCAUUUCUUUGAUUAUGGAAAGCGUCUCUUGAAAUCUUAGCUUUGCCCGCGUUAAGGGAAGGAGCAUGUCAACAGCCAGGAAGAGAUCCUGUUCUCAGAGACAGCGAUGCUCAGAAGCAAUGCAGUUGCGAAGAAAAUCUUUGCCACAUGAAAAUGCACUGCACCACACGGUUAUUCUUUACCAGGGCACAACCAAUGAUGUGACAGCCUUUCUAAUCCUUGGAAGAAGUCAGAUAAAAGACAUAGCGACACUGAUAUUUUAAGAGUGGGUCAAAAAAUUAAUACAGUGAUGGUGAUUAACAGGGGAGGGGAGGCACCCAAUUUUGUUAUUUGGAAAAUUCUGGCAGUGCGACUACCAAUAUGCUCAUGACUAGAGCAGAAGACCUCUUAAUUAGUAUUGGAAUAAUAACAUAAAAGG